AUUGAACGCUGGCGGCAUGCUUUACACAUGCAAGUCGAACGGUAACAGGUUAAGCUGACGAGUGGCGAACGGGUGAGUAAUGCAUCGGAACGUGCCCGAUCGUGGGGGAUAACGCAGCGAAAGCUGCGCUAAUACCGCAUACGAACUGAGGAUGAAAGCGGGGGACCGUAAGGCCUCGCGCGAUCGGAGCGGCCGAUGUCAGAUUAGGUAGUUGGUGGGGUAAAGGCUCACCAAGCCAACGAUCUGUAGCUGGUCUGAGAGGACGACCAGCCACACUGGGACUGAGACACGGCCCAGACUCCUACGGGAGGCAGCAGUGGGGAAUUUUGGACAAUGGGCGAAAGCCUGAUCCAGCAAUGCCGCGUGCAGGAAGAAGGCCUUCGGGUUGUAAACUGCUUUUGUACGGAGCGAAAAGGCUCUCUCUAAUACAGGGGGCCCAUGACGGUACCGUAAGAAUAAGCACCGGCUAACUACGUGCCAGCCGCCGCGGUAA
rnacentral:rRNA from 1 species